rnacentral:rRNA from 1 species
UGGGGAAUUGUUCGCAAUGGGCGCAAGCCUGACGACGCAACGCCGCGUGGAGGAUGAAGGUCUUCGGAUUGUAAACUCCUGUUGCCAGGGACGAAUGGCUCCGACCUAACACGUUGGAGAGUGACGGUACCUGGUGAGGAAGCCCCGGCUAACUCUGUGCCAGCAGCCGCGGUAAUACAUAGGGGGCUAGCGUUGUUCGGAAUUACUGGGCGUAAAGGGCGCGUAGGCGGCCUGCUAAGUCGAACGUGAAAUCCCCGGGCUCAACCCGGGAACUGCGUCCGAUACUGGCAGGCUUGAAUCCGGGAGAGGGAUGUGGAAUUCCAGGUGUAGCGGUGAAAUGCGUAGAUAUCUGGAGGAACACCGGUGGCGAAGGCGGCAUCCUGGACCGGUAUUGACGCUGAGGCGCGAAAGCCAGGGGAGCAAACGGGAUUAGAUACCCCGGUAGUCCUGGCCCUAAACGAUGAAUGCCAGCCGUUGGGGAGCUUGCUCUUCAGUGGCGCAGCUAACG